rnacentral:tmRNA from 1 species
GGGGCUGACAAGCUUCGACAGAAGUUCUUUGACAAGUUGCGGCAAGCCGUGUUUCGUUGCCUACACACGUAAAUCCUGGGUGACAUCGUACAAAUGCCAACUCAUUUGUCGCAAAGAUCAAGAAUGCUUUCAGCGUUCCUGUCUUUGCACCAGCCGUUGCUUAAAUAACGACGGCGGCUCAAUGCGCGACACCGAUGGCGCAAGCGGCCUAUCAUUUUCGGUUAUAUCAUCCAUUACCGUGCGAGAAUGGAUGAUUGAAAGUUACUCGCUCUAGGCAUCUCUGAUAUUUUGCAAGUUCUAAGCCAGAGAGCCGAAUCAAAAUAAACUUGAUAAGCUUGUAGAAGUGAUUUGUCAUGACGUUUGGACGCGGGUGCAAUUCCCGCCAGCUCCACUG